rnacentral:rRNA from 1 species
AUUGAACGCUGGCGGCAUGCCUAACACAUGCAAGUCGAACGGCAGCACGACCUAGCUUGCUAGGUUGGUGGCGAGUGGCGCACGGGUGAGUAAUGCGUAGGAAUAUACCUUAAAGUGGGGGACAACCUGGGGAAACUCAGGCUAAUACCGCAUGAGCUCUAAGGAGGAAAGCUGGGGACCUUUCGGGGCCUGGCGCUUUAAGAACAGCUUACGUGCGAUUAGUUAGUUAGUGGGGUAAAGGCUUACCAAGACGAUGAUCGGUAGCUGGUCUGGGAGGAUGAUCAGCCACACUGGGACUGAGACACGGCCCAGACUCCUACGGGAGGCAGCAGUGGGGAAUAUUGGACAAUGGGGGAAACCCUGAUCCAGCGAUGCCGCGUGUGUGAAGAAGGCCUGCGGGUUGUAAAGCACUUUCGGUGGGGAGGAGGACUUAUAGGUUAAGAGCAAUGAGUUGGACGUUACCCACAUAAGAAGCACCGGCUAACUCCGUGCCAGCCGCCGCAGUAA